rnacentral:lncRNA from 1 species
CCAAUGCAAAAAGUUUCGUCCCAAUUAAAGAAAGCACAAUGUGUUCUACCCUUUUUGAACCUAAGCCUUAAACAAUAUGAGAACCCUUUUGCAAAUAUUUACCUUGAGUUAAGUUGAGAAUUAUUGUGUGGUAUUGAUAAAGGUUCAAGUUUGGGGCUGUUGGGAAAGUUGAAAAAGAAAAAGAUAAGCAUUGAGCUAAUGUGUUGAGCAAAACAUGAAAAGAUGAAAAAGAUAGAAAAAAAAAGAAAAAAAAAGAUAAAAUGAGAAGAAAAGCUCAAUGCAAAGAAAAGGGAAAGUUGGGAAUGAGUGAGAUUGGUUGUUUAAAGAGAGUUUGUGUUUAAAAUAUAAAUGUGAAUAACUCUCUUAACUCAAGGAUUUUGUGAUCCAGAAAAACCAAUGUUCUUCUUAGCCCAACCACGUUACAAGCCAUAAAAAGUCCCUGUGAUG